ensembl:lncRNA
CUGGUAAAUACCAACGUCCGUCUCUUGCUCGCAAGGUUGGACACAGCUUGCAUUCUUUGGCCAUGUAUAUCAAGUCCGAAGGCCUGAAAAAGAAAGAUAGACAAGCUACUCAAGAUGCUGAGGAGUUUGUGCAGCUUUAUCAAGAAAGUUGGAGAUUUGACAUUGCAAGCCAAGCAUUAGCUCAACUCGACCAGAGCAAAUGGAAUGCUCCUCAACUCUUACCUUUCACACAAGAUAUCCAAAAGCUUCAUUGUCAUUUAGCUGAGAAACGGCAUCAACAUUUGAAUGAUCUGCAAGAACACCCAUCACCAUCAAACUGGAAGGAGCUUGCAAAAGUGACAGUGACACAAGUUGUACUGUUUAACCGCCGGAGAGGAGGGGAAGUGUCCAGGAUGCUUCUCUCUGCGUACCUUUCAAAGGACAUAUCAGACACACAUGAUGACGUUAGCUUGGCCCUUACACCGCUUGAACAGAAAUUGUGCAAACAUUUUGUAAGGAUUACAAUUGUAGGAAAGAGAGGAAGAAAGGUUCCAGUUCUUUUAACCCCACUCAUGAGGGAGUCACUUGAUGCUCUAAACGAGAAGAGAGAAGAAUGCGGGGUGCUGUCUGAGAAUGAAUAUCUGUUUGCAUUACCACGCUCUGUCCAUUGCAUAAGGGCUUCUGACUGCAUAAGGCAGUUUGUGACAGAAUGUGAUGAUAUCAAAAAUCCUAAAGCAUUAACAUCAACAAAACUAAGGAAACAUAUCGCCACCCUCUCUACGGUAUUGAACCUUAAGACCACAGAGCUUGAUCAGUUGGCCGACUUCCUCGGGCAUAAUAUCGCUGUCCACCGAAAGCACUAGCGCCUUCCGGAGGGCACCCUCCAGUUGGCCAAAAUCAGCAAAGUGCUCCUUGCAAUGGAACAGGGACGACUAGGAGAAUACAAAGGAAAGAGUCUGGAUGAAAUUCAAGUUGAAGUGAAUGAGACCAUUGGCAUGGAGGGGCCUUCAGAAGAGGACAUUGAAGAUGUCAGUAUGCCAGGAGAACAGGGGUCAGAAGAUGAGUUCAGCAUGUCAUCCCUGCACAAGUGUACCUCUGCAUCACAAGUCCAAAACCAGGGAGUAUCUUCGACAGAUGUCAGUGUGCCAGGAGAACAGGGUUCAGAAGAUGAGGUCAGCAUAUCAUCCUUGCAGGAAGGUACCUCCACAUCACAAUUCGAAAACCAGUGUGUGUCUACAAAAAAGAGAGGUAAGCAAGCCGCUGUAAAACGUUGGACACCAGAGGAAAUUGCUGCAGUAGAAAAACAUCUGAAGAUGUUCAUUGUGAGGCAAGAUGUUCCAGGUAAAGCAGACUGUGAGCGCUGCAUUUCUGCAGAACCGCAAGCGCUACAAAAAAGAGACUGGAAAGCAGUCAAAUAUUUCAUCAAAAAUAGAAUAACUGCCAAAAGAAGAAAAUUAGAAUGAAAGCAGUUCACUGAUAAGAUGUAUGGAC